GGGGGAUUAACUCAGUGGUUAGAGUGGCAUCCUGUUAAGUUGCUGGUCGGUGGUUCGAGUCCACCAUCCCUCGCCA
rnacentral:tRNA from 8 species